rnacentral:misc_RNA from 1 species
GAUGAAGAACGUAGUGAAAUGCGAUAAGUAAUGUGAAUUGCAGAAUUCAGUGAAUCAUCGAAUCUUUGAACGCACAUUGCGCCCACCAGUAUUCUGGCGGGCAUGCCUGUUCGAGCGUCAUUUCAACCAUCAAGCCCCAGGCUUGUGUUGGGGACCUGCGGCUGCCGCAGGCCCUGAAAACCAGUGGCGGGCUCGCUGUCACACCGGGCGUAGUAGAUUUUAUCUCGCUCAGGGCGUGCUGCGGGUUCCGGCCGUUAAAAAGCCUUUUUUACCCAAGGUUGACCUCGGAUCAGGUAGGAAUACCCGCUGAACUUAAGCAUAUCAAUAAGCGGAGGA